ensembl:lncRNA
UGUUCUUGAAAUACUUUGUGGCUGCCAUUUCACUCAAUAAUUAAUGACUUAUUUACACAACACCAAUGUGCUGCCAUGCACAAGUGUCGCUAUGGUCACCAAUUGAGCUUGCAUGAUCAAGUUGCUUGUGAGAUUGCUGUCUUCGCAUUUCACAAUUCAGAUGAAUAAAUAAUGGCUUCUGAAAUUCAGUGCUUUGUUUUGCUUUCCCAGCACCCAUUAGUCACACCAGAAUUAACUUAGCGUCCGCAUGUUUUCAUGUUUAGGAAUUCUGAAAUGACAUGUUUUCACACGAUAAAAAAGGAGACAAGCAAGAGCACCAGAGUUAAUUUACAGUGAAGCACACCAAAGAAGUUAAGUGUGAAAGUACCCUUUGGCUUUUUGCCUGCACUAAUUGACAGUGGCACAACUGUGAAAACAUACAUGCUCAUGGGGUGCAAUAUGUGACUUUCAUUAUUGGAAGAACACAACAUGGCAGAAAAAAACGGAUAAAAUAGUAAAAAAAACAACAACAAGAAAAAAAAAAAACCUUGACAUACUUCAGAAUAUUCCAGUUUUUUCCCCUUUGAAUGCUGAAGAGGUUAAACUGAAAAUUUCUUUAACUAAACAAUCUGAAAAGGAAACAUCCUUGAAUGAUUUUCAGCUCAAACAAAAGUGACAAGAGGUCAUAAUUAAACUGUAAAAAUAUCACAUGCUGCAAAGUGGAUGCAGUAUUUUGAAAAAAAAACCCUCAACGUGCACAUUUCAAGCGGCAAAAUUUGAGAGUUUCUUAGCUAGCAAACUUUAAAAUACCUUUAUAUAGCACACAGCUUGGAGUCAUACUCUGUCUUAUGAAGGAAAAAUCGGAGACAGCGAUAGCAGACUGUAUCAGAACUAGGACAGCUUCGAUGUUUUCAGCCAACUUGGAUAACGCAGCCAACCUUUGAGCCCUCUGCCAGCCUUUUAUACUCCUUUUAACUCUACCCGUUUAUGGCAGCGCCUAAGAAAGCAAUGUUUUGGCCACCCUUUAGAAAAAAAUACCCCCCCACCAUUAAAGAAUAUUGAAUGUCUUUUUAAAUUUUAACCAGAUAACUAAUCGUU